rnacentral:rRNA from 1 species
GCCCUACGGGGGGCAGCAGUGAGGAAUAUUGGUCAAUGGGCGGAAGCCUGAACCAGCCAAGUCGCGUGAGGGAAUAAGGCCCUACGGGUCGUAAACCUCUUUUGCCGGGGAGCAAGGGCGGGGACGUGUCCCGGCCCGGAGAGUACCCGGAGAAAAAGCAUCGGCUAACUCCGUGCCAGCAGCCUCGGUAAUACGUAGGUGGCGAGCGUUAUCCGGAAUGAUUGGGCGUAAAGGGUGCGCAGGCGGUCCUGCAAGGCUGGAGUGAAACGCAUGAGCUCAACUCA